UCCCCCUUCAUACCCGCCGCCACCUAGAAUGAAACCCUAAAUUUGUUCUUUCCUUUGGUUCUUAUCACCACCAAACAUCUAUUGGUCAUCCUCGUGGUGGAACUGGCCCACGGCCAUCCCCACUCUAGUCACUGUUUUCUUUGAAUUUGGUCAAUUUCUCACCGUCUCUUCCAGAAAGCAAGACGAGGUCUCCAUCGGACAUAGAUCGUAACCAAAUCCAGAGCGCCUUGAUCAGACGAAAGGGAACUAUCUAUUUUUGGUAUCUUCGUAGAUCAUGGACAUUUUGUGCUCCCAUGACAGCACAAAAUGGAGAGACUGGGCCAAACUAUGUACAGAUCUUGCGAAGGAAAUCUCCAAUCGGCUACUCACCUUUGACAUUGCAGACUACAUCCACUUUCGGGCAACUUGCAAGCCAUGGCGUGACUUCACUGAUGACCCGCACACAUGUGAUGCGAUGGACAUCCGCUUUCGCCCACGCAACUGGAUCACGCUCGCUCACUGUGCAUCCCCGUCACGCCGUACCCUUCUCAAUGUCACCACCGGUGCUCGUACCAACAUUGACUUCCCGGAUCUAGCCACCUAGCAUUACCUCGGCACGGCUGACGGCCUCCUUGUCCUUGGCCAUUAGCGCACUAAUACCAUUCGUAUUCUCCACCCAUUCACUGGUAAGGCCACUGAGUUCCCUUCACACUGCGCACCAUCCACAUUGAAUAGGCGCCUGCGAGUGAACUUAUCUGCCCUCAACGGUGCCGGCAUCGAUGACUCGACUAUUCCCACUACGCUCGUCAUUAGCCUGAGAAAUGGUUUGCGUCAAGUUAUUUGUGCCAAGCCUAGUGACAAGCUUUGGUCUUUUGUGCAAGCUAUCGACCAACGCUCGGCUAGCUUUCUUGACAAGGUUAGAGGCCACUCACCGCUGACCUUUGGAGGGCGAUGCUACUUCACGACAUCGGACGGCAUGAUAAUCGCAUUGGAUUUGACCCCUGGGGUUGAACCUCAUAUGGUUUGCCUCCUCGAAGACCCACGGUUGGUGAACCAUCAUGAAACAAUAAUUUACUCCUAUCUUGUUAGGUCCCAUGAUCGAAUGCUCAUGGUGAGGUACCUCUUUGGUACGAACCUUCUCCAAGGAGGUGGAUACAAUGAAGAAGAUAUAUUCAUGUGGCAAGAUUACCCGUCCCGUAUGGAGGUGCUUGAGGUGGACCUCCCUAGCAGGAGAUUGGUGACACAACAUGGAAUUGGUAGCCGUUGUGCAGCAUUCGUUGGCGCCUCUCACACAGUCAUGGUAUCCACUGAGAAAUUCCCUCGGAUCAUUUCCAAUGCGGUGUACCUCAACUAUUGUAUGCAAGGAGUAUUUCGUCAUUUUGCUACCUACUGCUUCGAAGAUAAGACAACUAUAUCUGCAAGACACUUUCACGGUCGUCGAAUUGGCAAAAACUCUCCUUGUGCUUGCCACUGGGAGCUUGAAGAUUAUCUUAUGUGUGAUGUUGAGAAGGGCUAUCGUAUGUAAGGUCAUAAAUUCACUAGUUGUGGCAUUUAUGGGAAAUUCAUUUGCUUGAAAAAUAAAAUGUUUAUUCUGCUAUGUAAAAUUUCAUCCUAGAUGUAGUUGCAUCAAUAAAGAAUGGGAGACUCCCUCUUUCAAAUGUUAAAACUAUUGUAUAUGGAACCUUCCAAUUUCCUA